rnacentral:rRNA from 1 species
GACGAACGCUGGCGGCGCGCCUAACACAUGCAAGUCGAACGGAGCUGAGAGAAGCUUGCUUUUCUUAGCUUAGUGGCGAACGGGUGAGUAACGCGUGAGUAACCUGCCCUGGAGUGGGGGACAACAGUUGGAAACGACUGCUAAUACCGCAUAAGCCCACGAUCCGGCGUGGGGUUGAGGGAAAAGGAUUUAUUCGUUUCAGGAUGGACUCGCGUCCAAUUUGCUAGGUGGUGGGGUAACGGCCCACCAAGGCGAGGAUUGGUAGCCGGACGGAGAGGUGGAACGGCCACAUUGGGACUGAGACACGGCCCAGACUCCUACGGGAGGCAGCAGUGGGGGAUAUUGCACAAGGGGGGAAACCCUGAUGCAGCGACGCCGCGUGGAGGGAGAAGGUUUUCGGAUUGUAAACUCCUGUCGUUAGGGACGAUAAUGACGGUACCUAACAAGAAAGCACCGGCUAACUACGUG